rnacentral:lncRNA from 1 species
UGUAUCUAUAUCUCUGGUACAGGCAGCAAGUUUCUAUAGUGAACCUGCCUGCCUAACGAGCCUGUCUCCUCUCGCCUCAGCCUGGAUUUUAGCACGCCACACUCACUUUUAGCAGUCCAAAGUCAAAUAGUGACUCACAAAUUCCUCUGCUUUUCUUUUUCCAGGGAUCAGACAUUAGGGAGAGGCAACGUCACCUUUCCUCCUCCCUCCUCCACUCCCUACUUGUGCUCCUGCUAGCCUAACCCAGGCCUAUACAGUAAGUUACUUCUCUCUCUCUAACUACUGUCCACACACACCUCUAGUCUCAACAGUAAAUUCUACAAGAAUCUCACCCCUCUUUCGCUAACUUCCCUCUUCACAAAUAAUAUACAUUUCAGUUGUACAGUCUGCUUCACAAAUAGUCCCCUAUUCCCUGUGUAGUGCCCUAUGUGGCCUGGUCUAAAGUAGUGCACUAUAGAGGAAAAAGGGUGUAAUUUGGGAUGCACACACAGUUACAACACACCUCCAGCCAGAUCUUUUGGUCUUUCGGGCCCCAGCCUGCAAUCAAACGGCAGCCACGCCAAAUGCUUUUUCCGGAGGCCAGGAUUUUUUUCAGCUCCUGUAGCUCUGAUAAAAGCCCUGCCACACUCAAACCCCCUAUAGACUUCUCACACACACACACACACACACACACACACACACACACACACAACCCCCUAUAGGCUUCUCACACACACACACACACACACACACACAACCCCCUAUAGGCUUCUCACACACACACACACACACACACACACACACACACACACACACACACACACACCCCCGAAGGCCAGUGAAAACAUCAAAGCGUUUCUACUGUAAGUCAGCAACACCUUUAAACUGCAGGCGCUGUAAAACAGAGGUGGAAAGAGGUGGAGACUUAGAGAGGAGGGAGGAGAGGUGGAGGAGAGAGGAGGUGGAGAGAGGAUGAGGAGGUGGAGAGAGGUAAAGAGAGGAGAGAGGAGGUGGAGAGAGGAUGUUGAGAGAUGAGGGGAAAAGAGGUAAACAGAAGAGGUGGAGAAAGGUGAAGAGAGGAGGUGGAGAGAGGUGGUGAGCCUUGGCUAGCACAUUAUUGCAGAUGUGCCUCAUGCUUUGUUGAGAAGAGCCAAUUCCCCUUAAUGUGAGCGGUAAAAAGGCUCUGGUUCGCCCUCUCAAAGCGAAGUAUGCUUUUAAAGUAACACUGUGAACGUGACAGCUCAACUCAGCAAAAAUAACUGUUUGAAACAACUUUGCUACAAACUAACUAGAGCACUGUGGAAUCAAAAUCAAUUCAAUUGAACUGUAGCAGGG